rnacentral:rRNA from 1 species
GACAUCCAGAGAACUUAGCAGAGAUGCUUUGGUGCCUUCGGGAACUCUGAGACAGGUGCUGCAUGGCUGUCGUCAGCUCGUGUUGUGAAAUGUUGGGUUAAGUCCCGNAACGAGCGCAACCCUUAUCCUUUGUUGCCAGCGGUUCGGCCGGGAACUCAAAGGAGACUGCCGGUGAUAAACCGGAGGAAGGUGGGGAUGACGUCAAGUCAUCAUGGCCCUUACGGCCAGGGCUACACACGUGCUACAAUGGCGCAUACAAAGAGAAGCGACCUCGCGAGAGCAAGCGGACCUCAUAAAGUGCGUCGUAGUCCGGAUUGGAGUCUGCAACUCGACUCCAUGAAGUCGGAAUCGCUAGUAAUCGUAGAUCAGAAUGCUACGGUGAAUACGUUCCCGGGCCUUGUACACACCGCCCGUCACACCAUGGGAGUGGGUUGCAAAAGAAGUAGGUAGCUUAACCUUCGGGAGGGCGCUUACCACUUUGUGAUUCAUGACUGGGUGAAGUCGUAACAAGGUAAGCGUAGCGAG